rnacentral:snRNA from 1 species
GGAUGUGAGGGCGAUCUGGCUGCGACAUCUGUCACCCCAUUGAUCGCCAGGGUUGAUUCAACUGAUCUGGCUGGCUAGGCGGGUGUCCCCUUCCUCCCUCACCGCUCCAUGUGCGUCCUUCCUGAAGCUGCAUGCUCAGUCGAAGAGGACGGCCAUCCCCAAUAGAGGAGGACCAUUCUUCGGUCAAGGGUAUACGAGUAGCUGUGCUCCCCUGCUAGAACCUCCAAACAAGCUCUCAAGGAAAGCAACAGCAGCAGUGGUAGGAAGUAGUUGGGGUUUACCAGGUGCACUUGGAGGGUAGAACCUGCUGAAU